UCGUGGCCCUUAUCCCUUAAGACCCUCAAUGCCAGGGUGAGGGGAUCCGCUUCAUUAGAGUCAGGAAACGGGCAGGUCACACGGUUCAUCCAUGGAGCAGGUUCGUUCAUGAAGGAGACUUUCCCAACCAUCCUACUUGGUUUAUUCUGCAUUCCUGACUGCCAGUGAGGACAAAGGUUUUUGUGUAUUAGACAUUUGUGCUUCUUCCUCUGCGAAUCACCUGUGUAGCCAGCUCUGUGUUCUAACAAACUAUUCCUACUUUUCUUACUGAUGGAGGCAACGUCACGUGGUGGUUUAGAGCCCCGAGGCAGACUGCUCGGGUUCAAAGCUUGGCUGUGGUGGUGGCCCCGGACAACAUGCAGAAGCCCCUACUUCUUCAUCAUUCCACCAGGGACAGCGGUGACUGCCUCCAGGCGUGUUCCAGUACGGUAACUUCCUUACCGAAGGCAGGCAAAACUGACACACCAUGAAGAUGGUUUUAAUCUUUAAAAUCCUACAACACGAAAGACACAAUCUGUUGCUGUGUGUGUGGCUGACCCGAAGGAACCCAGCAAGCAGAGGCAUCCACAGAGGAGAAAUUGGGAUUUCUGCAGUCGCUGAGCCACACCCCCAGCCUGGCUUCUUCCCUAGAAUUGUCUAAAAGAGGUGAAGUAGCCGUAUGCACCUUACAGGGGUGCUGUGAAACUUAGACGAAGUAAUAGCAGAGCUGGGGGCCCCAACAGAGGACCCCAGCUCAGUCCUGGGCACGCAGUAGGUGUUCAACAAACGUGAGCUGUCUACUCCUAACCUUGGCCCACCUCUACCCCCUCUCUCUCACACUCUACAGAAGACAAAGUUAAAAAUGGAAAGGUAGCACGUUCUGACAGUAAUCUACGGAAUGCCACGACUAAUCCCCACGAGUCAGUGACAGAUACAACGCGGCGCUGCUGCCCGCGUCCGGCCACCGUCCUGCAGCGAGGGCUGGGCGGGUCUCUCACCCAGGGUCUGGCUGCAGUGAGGGGUGGCUCCUGACACCUCCUUCACCCACCACCCACGCUGCCACCCCCCACCGGGCCCAAGGAAAACUGGCACGCGUGGCGGGAGAACCAGGCGACCAGGUUUUCACAAAAGCAGCUACACGCCAUCCCCGAAAUAAAGAGUGACGAGGAGUCACGGAGAAAACACGCUGCUGCGGCGACACACUUCAGUUGCCAUAAGAACAAAACAGCCUGUUAAAACACCCAGAAGGGUCCACUGAGGAAAAUUCGCUCAUCAUUUCCUACUUCUAUGUUUGGUUUAUUUCUAAAAUACAGUAAUAACUAAAUUGGCAAACUGAAUUUAAACUCAGCCAAGCAUACUUUCAUGCUGAGUUUGAAAGAAAAACAAACCCCUGCAGCUGACCAAAUUAGGGAUCCGAGCACACCUUCGACUUUCGCCCGCCUCUUCUACAGAGGAUCAGUCUCGGAUUCUGACCAAGAAAAAUGCAAAGACACUACGUAUGGAGCUUCCCAGACGGCAUCUGAAGCUCUGCCUGAUACGACUGUUGAGAGUUUGACAAAUAGGGCCGCACACACAAAUGGCUCAGCAUGACACGAUGCACACAAAGUUCAGCAGUAAGUGGGUUGAUGGUACUGAUUAUUA